rnacentral:rRNA from 1 species
UACGGAGAGUGCAAACGUUGUUCGGAUUCACUGGGCGUAAAGGGCACGUAGGCGGCUCGGCAAAUCGGUCGUGGAAUCCCGACGCUUACCGUCGGAACGGCGGCCGAAAAUACCGGGCUCGAGGGCGUGAGGGGUCACUGGAACUCCUGGUGAAGCGGUGAAAUGCGUAGAUAUCUGGAGGAACACCGGUGGCGAAGGCGGCAUCCUGGACCGGCAUUGACGCUGAGGCGCGAAAGCUAGGGGAGCAAACGGG